rnacentral:rRNA from 1 species
GGGUGAGUAACACGUGGAUAACCUACCUAUAAGACUGGGAUAACUUCGGGAAACCGGAGCUAAUACCGGAUAACAUAUUGAACCGCAUGGUUCAAUAGUGAAAGGCGGCUUUGCUGUCACUUAUAGAUGGAUCCGCGCCGUAUUAGCUAGUUGGUAAGGUAACGGCUUACCAAGGCAACGAUACGUAGCCGACCUGAGAGGGUGAUCGGCCACACUGGAACUGAGACACGGUCCAGACUCCUACGGGAGGCAGCAGUAGGGAAUCUUCCGCAAUGGGCGAAAGCCUGACGGAGCAACGCCGCGUGAGUGAUGAAGGUCUUCGGAUCGUAAAACUCUGUUAUCAGGGAAGAACAAAUGUGUAAGUAACUGUGCACAUCUUGACGGUACCUGAUCAGAAAGCCACGGCUAACUACGUGCCAGCAGCCGCGGUAAUACGUAGGUGGCAAGCGUUAUCCGGAAUUAUUGGGCGUAAAGCGCGCGUAGGCGGUUUUUUAAGUCUGAUGUGAAAGCCCACGGCUCAACCGUGGAGGGUCAUUGGAAACUGGAAAACUUGAGUGCAGAAGAGGAAAGUGGAAUUCCAUGUGUAGCGGUGAAAUGCGCAGAGAUAUGGAGGGAACACCAGUGGCGAAGGCGACUUUCUGGUCUGUAACUGAC